rnacentral:tRNA from 1 species
GGAAUGUGGCUUAGUGGUGGAGUGCUUGCCUCGCAUGCUUGAGGCCCUGGGUUCAAUCUGCAGCACCA